rnacentral:misc_RNA from 1 species
GAAAUGCGAUAAGUAGUGUGAAUUGCAGAAUUUAGCGAAUCAUCGAAUCUUUGAACGCACAUUGCGCCCCUUGGUAUUCCAUGGGGCAUGCCUGUUCGAGCGUCAUUUCAACCCUCAAGCACUGCUUGGUGUUGGGGAUCGGGCUGCGGUUCUGCCGCGGCCCGGCCCCGAAAUCUAGUGGCGGUCUCGCUGCAGCCUCCAUUGCGUAGUAGCUAACACCUCGCAACUGGAACGCGGCGCGGCCAAGCCGUUAAACCCCCAACUUCUGAAUGUUGACCUCGGAUCAGGUAGGAAUACCCGCUGAACUUAAGC